rnacentral:miRNA from 10 species
ACCGAUUGUCAGACAUAUCUAG